rnacentral:rRNA from 1 species
GACAGAGGGUGCAAACGUUGUUCGGAAUUACUGGGCGUAAAGCGAGUGUAGGCGGUUUGGCUAGUCGGAUGUGAAAGCCCCGGGCUCAACCCGGGAAGUGCAUUCGAUACUCCCAAGCUAGAGUAUCGGAGAGGUUGGUGGAAUUCUCGGUGUAGAGGUGAAAUUCGUAGAUAUCGAGAGGAACACCGGUGGCGAAGGCGGCCAACUGGACGAAUACUGACGCUGAGACUCGAAAGCGUGGGGAGCAAACAGG